AUCGCUUCUGGGCCUUUUGGCUAAAAUCAAGUGUAGUAUCUGUUCUUAUCAGUUUAAAAUCAGUGCAUUUCCACUUUGAAAAGAUUUUUUUUCUUUUGUCUUUUUGAGAUAGGGUCUCUCUAUGCAGUUUGGGCAGGCCUUGAGCUUACUUUGUGGCCCAGGCUGGUUUCUAACUCCCAACGACUCUAAGCCCUCAGGCUGCCUCA
ensembl:snRNA U2 U2 spliceosomal RNA